CUAAGAAAGUUACAAGAACUGCUAACUCUUGAUUCCAUGAUUAAACCCCAUGGCUUUCUU
ensembl:Mt_tRNA